CAAUAGCGUAUAUUUAAGUUGCUGCAGUUAAAAAGCUCGUAGUUGGAUUUCGGGUGGGAAUGGCCGGUCCGCCGUUUCGGUGUGCACUUGCUACGCCCACCUUGCUGCCGGGGACGUGCUCUUGAGUUCACGCUCGGGACACGGAGUCGGCGAGGUUACUUUGAGUAAAUUAGAGUGUUCAAAGCAGGCCUACGCUCUGAAUACAUUAGCAUGGAAUAACACGAUAGGACUCUGGCCUAUCUUGUUGGUCUGUAGGACCGGAGUAAUGAUUAAGAGGGACAGUCGGGGGCAUUCGUAUUUCAUUGUCAGAGGUGAACUUCUUGGAUUUAUGAAAGACGAACUACUGCGAAAGCAUUUGCCAAGGAUGUUUUCAUUAA
rnacentral:rRNA from 1 species